AGAGUUUGAUCCUGGCUCAGAUUGAACGCUGGCGGCAUGCCUUACACAUGCAAGUCGAACGGUAACGCGGGGGCAACCCUGGCGACGAGUGGCGAACGGGUGAGUAAUACAUCGGAACAUAUCCAGUAGCGGGGGAUAACCUAUCGAAAGAUGGACUAAUACCGCAUACGAUCUACGGAUGAAAGCAGGGGACCGCAAGGCCUUGCACUAUUGGAGUGGCCGAUGUCGGAUUAGCUAGUUGGUGGGGUAAAAGCCUACCAAGGCGACGAUCCGUAGCUGGUCUGAGAGGACGAUCAGCCACACUGGAACUGAGACACGGUCCAGACUCCUACGGGAGGCAGCAGUGGGGAAUUUUGGACAAUGGGCGCAAGCCUGAUCCAGCCAUGCCGCGUGAGUGAAGAAGGCCUUCGGGUUGUAAAGCUCUUUCGGUGAAGACGAAACGGUUCAUGCUAAUAACGUGAACUAAUGACGGUACUCACAGAAGAAGCACCGACUAACUACGUGCCAGCAGCCGCGGUAAUACGUAGGGUGCAGGCGUUAAUCGGAAUUACUGGGCGUAAAGCGUGCGCAGGCGGUUUGCUAAGACAGGUGUGAAAUCCCCGGGCUUAACCUGGGAAUUGCGCUUGUAACUGGCAAGCUAGAGUGUGGCAGAGGGGGGUGGAAUUCCACGUGUAGCAGUGAAAUGCGUAGAUAUGUGGAGGAACACCGAUGGCGAAGGCAGCCCCCUGGGUUAACACUGACGCUCAUGCACGAAAGCGUGGGGAGCAAACAGGAUUAGAUACCCUGGUAGUCCACGCCCUAAACUAUGUCAACUAGUUGUCGGGGAAGAAAUUCCUUGGUAACGAAGCUAACGCGUGAAGUUGACCGCCUGGGGAGUACGGCCGCAAGGUUAAAACUCAAAGGAAUUGACGGGGACCCGCACAAGCGGUGGAUUAUGUGGAUUAAUUCGAUGCAACGCGAAAAACCUUACCUACCCUUGACAUGCUAGGAAGCCCGCAGAGAUGUGGGUGUGCCCGAAAGGGAACCUAGACACAGGUGCUGCAUGGCUGUCGUCAGCUCGUGUCGUGAGGUGUUGGGUUAAGUCCCGCAACGAGCGCAACCCUUGCCAUUAGUUGCUACAUUCAGUUGGGCACUCUAAUGGGACCGCCGGUGACAAACCGGAGGAAGGUGGGGAUGACGUCAAGUCCUCAUGGCCCUUAUGGGUAGGGCUUCACACGUAAUACAAUGGUCGGUACAGAGGGCUGCCAACCCGCAAGGGGAGCUAAUCCCAGAAAGCCGAUCGUAGUCCGGAUUGUAGUCUGCAACUCGACUGCAUGAAGCCGGAAUCGCUAGUAAUCGCGGAUCAGCAUGUCGCGGUGAAUACGUUCCCGGGUCUUGUACACACCGCCCGUCACACCAUGGGAGUGGGUUCCACCAGAAGUAGUUAGCCUAACCGCAAGGAGGGCGAUUACCACGGUUAGAUUCAUGACUGGGGUGAAGUCGUAACAAGGUA
rnacentral:rRNA from 1 species